CUGAAUUUAGCAUUGUUUUUGGUGAAUCAGCAUCUCCGGAGAUAACCACAGGCUGACCUCAUGGGGAGGGAGGAGUAGCUUGGUAAGGAAGUGCCUGGCACAGAUGGAGCCUCCUGGGUGGCCAGCACUACUGGUCACCCUGUGGGGACAUCACUGGCUGAGAUUUGUCUAGUGCUGUCUCAUAUCUCUCUUUUUAUGUUUGUUCCAAUUUCGUGUGUAUGUGUUUUUACACACAUGCACGUCUGUGUGUGUUUACAUGCAUGUAUAUCUGUGGGUAUGCAUGUAUGUAUACAUUUCUGUGUGUAUAUGUGUGCAUAUGCAUGUGUGCACGCAUUUGUGUAUGUGUAUGUAUUAGGCAUUUUUGUAUGGUGUCAAAUGUGUGUGCAUGUAUUAUGCAUCUAUGUGUGUGUAUGUGCAUGUAUUAUGCAGUGUGUGUAUGUGUGUUCGUAUGCUGCAUCUCUGUGGGUGCAGGUGUAGACCUGGGUGGUGCAGUGUAGAGGUCAGAGCACAGUUCCAGCUUCUCUCUUUAUGUGCAUUCCCCCUUUUGUGUGAGGUAGGUUCUCUCAUUGAACUUAGCCAGGAACUUCACAUAGGCCAGACUAUCUGCCCCCAGGCUUCUGGGGAUACACUUCUCUCUGCCUUCCAUCUUACUGGCACUAGGAUUACAGGACAGAGUUGCCACACCCAGCUCUUUGUGUGGAUGCUGGGAACACUUGCUUCUGUUUCUUGCUUGAGAAUGAUGCUUAGAGCGUCUAUGCUAUCCUUGAAUGAAGGGACCUUGACUUUUGAGUUCUGCAAUGUCUGGAGCUGACUUAUGGUCUAUUGAUGGUUGGUAUGGUUUCCCACCAUUUAGUGGUAGUGGGGUUCCCCUGGGAAAAGUUGGAGGGUGGGCAUGGUACAUCUCUGGGCCCUCAACUCCUCUGCACAAACUGCCCCAUAUGCAUUGACCCUAGGCUUGGGCUGCAUUUCUGGGUGUUUCAAAGUGGCAUGUGAGGGAGGUGGCAAAAAACACUGGCAUCCUUGCUUGACUUUUCCUUCAUUCAGGGAGAGGAGGGUCCAAGAGGACGUGAAUCUGAGGGGUCAUGUUUGUGGGUCUGGUGAGUUUUGUGGAACACUGGACUGCCUACAGAGAAGGCCCCCACAGUGGUUCCAUAAAAGGUGGUCCUGUCUUCUGACCAGUUCUUAUGGUCGUGGUGUUGGGCUGUGCAGGUAGGCAGGAGAUGAGAGGAGCCAGAGUCAGUCUGUAGCAAACCCGUCCAGAUGCCACUUCCGUGACACUGUGAGUGACUCCAUUCCUGAAGCCUGGCCAGAAUGGGAAUUCCCCCUUCCUGGAAUAUACAGAUACUCCUCGACUCUCAAUGGGAUCCCCUCCCGGAAGCCCACUUCAGGCUAAACGCACCAGGACUGGAAAGUGAGUCAAAAUCUCUCACCCUCUCCCACCCCGUGGCCCCUGGCUGAAGUCGGGGUCACUCUGCUGUGCUGAAAUGUGGGAGAAGUUCAGACUGCAUAUCUACCCCUGGCCUGAGGAGACAGCAAACUCAAACCGCAAGUACACUUGUUUUGUUUUUGUUGUUGUUUUGUUUUGCAUAGGGUAUCCUGUAGCUCACACUCACCAUACACUAGGUAUGUAACCAAAGGUGACCCUAAACUUCUGAUCCUCCUGCCUCCACCUCCCCAGUGCUGGAAUGACAGGUUUGUGCCACCAUACUGGGUUUCUGUUGUGCUGAGGAAAGCCUUGUGCAUGCUGGGCAGGCACUCUACCAACCAAGCCACAUCCCCAGCCCUGAAAUAGUUUCUAUUGAAUGAAUGUUGCUUAUAUACUGUGGGAGAGGAAAACAAAAUGUCAAAACUUAGUAAGACAGGAUCUGUUUGAACUUUCUUUCCUUUUUUAAGUGGGAUGGAAAAAUGGCUGAGUGGUUCACGUGAUUGCUGCCCAACUGUAAGGAAUGGACUUCAGGACCCCAGAAAUCCAUGGAAAUGCCCCAAAGGUUGGGGUCAGCCUCAGAAGGUGGAGAAGAAGGAUCCCCAGAGCAAGACUAGCCAGCCACACAGGUGAUGAGACACUCCUCCACUACUCCUCUACUCCCACCGUGGUGAUGUCGAGAACAUGAAUGGAACCCUCUGAGUCUGUGAACCAGAAGAGACCCUUCCAGUGGAGAGACGCUUCAGUCAGCAAAGCACUGGCUGUGUGAGCUUGAGGAAGGGCCUGAGUUCUAUCUGCAGCUCCUAUGUACAGCAAGCCAGAAAGGUGGCGUGUGUGUAUGACACCAGCAUUAGGGAGGUGGGGAUUGGUGGAUGCUGGGGGCUCUCUGGAUAGCUUGAUUUUUGAUACAAGAUCUCUUAGCAAACCUGGAACUCAUUAUUUUGACUAGACUGGCCAGUGGAUGGGGGUCUGCUUGUGUCAAGAUCCAACACUGGGAUUACAGUCGUAUAUCACCAUAUCCAGCUUUAAAGUCGUGUUGAGGAUUUGAAC
rnacentral:lncRNA from 1 species